AGGGAAUCCUCCGCAAUGGGCGAAAGUCUGACGGAGCAACGCCGCGUGAGUGAUGACGGCCUUCGGGUUGUAAAGCUCUGUUAAUCGGGACGAAUGGUUCUUGUGCGAAUAGUGCGAGGAUUUGACGGUACCGGAAUAGAAAGCCACGGCUAACUACGUGCCAGCAGCCGCGGUAAUACGUAGGUGGCAAGCGUUGUCCGGAAUUAUUGGGCGUAAAGCGCGCGCAGGCGGAUCAGUUAGUCUGUCUUAAAAGUUCGGGGCUUAACCCCGUGAUGGGAUGGAAACUGCUGAUCUAGAGUAUCGGAGAGGAAAGUGGAAUUCCUGGUGUAGCGGUGAAAUGCGUAGAUAUUAGGAAGAACACCAGUGGCGAAGGCGACUUUCUGGACGAAAACUGACGCUGAGGCGCGAAAGCCAGGGGAGCGAACGGGAUUAGAUACCCCGGUAGUCCUGGCCGUAAACGAUGGGUACUAGGUGUAGGAGGUAUCGACCCCUUCUGUGCCGGAGUUAACGCAAUAAGUACCCCGCCUGGGGAGUACGACCGCAAGGUUG
rnacentral:rRNA from 1 species